UCUAAACAACCAAACAACAAAGUCGUUGUAGUAUAGUGGUAAGUAU
rnacentral:sRNA from 1 species